rnacentral:rRNA from 1 species
CUGAAAUCUUAGGUAAAUCCGGGGUUUCAAGGCCGAGAGCUGAUGACGAGUCGUCUUUUAGAUGACGAAGUGGUUGAUGCCAUGCUUCCAAGAAAAGCUUCUAAGCUUCAGGUAACCAGGAACCGUACCCCAAACCGACACAGGUGGUCGGGUAGAGAAUACCAAGGCGCUUGAGAGAACUCGGGUGAAGGAACUAGGCAAAAUGGCACCGUAACUUCGGGAGAAGGUGCGCCGGCUAGGGUGAAGGAUUUACUCCGUAAGCUCUGGCUGGUCGAAGAUACCAGGCCGCUGCGACUGUUUAUUAAAAACACAGCACUCUGCAAACACGAAAGUGGACGUAUAGGGUGUGACGCCUCCCCGGUGCCGGAAGGUUAAUUGAUGGGGUUAGCGCAAGCGAAGCUCUUGAUCGAAGCCCCGGUAAACGGCGGCCGUAACAAUAACGGUCCUAAGGUAGCGAAAUUCCUUGUCGGGUAAGUUCCGACCUGCACGAAUGGCGUAACGAUGGCGGCGCUGUCUCCACCCGAGACUCAGUGAAAUUGAAAUCGCUGUGAAGAUGCAGUGUAUCCGCGGCUAGACGGAAAGACCCCGUGAACCUUUACUGUAGCUUUGCACUGGACUUUGAGCCUGCUUGUGUAGGAUAGGUGGGAGGCUUUGAAGCGUGGACGCCAGUUCGCGUGGAGCCAUCCUUGAAAUACCACCCUGGCAUGCUUGAGGUUCUAACUCUGGUCCGUAAUCCGGAUCUAGGACAGUGUAUGGUGGGCAGUUUGACUGGGGCGGUCUCCUCCUAAAGAGUAACGGAGGAGUACGAAGGUGCGCUCAGACCGGUCGGAAAUCGGUCGCAGAGUAUAAAGGCAAAAGCGCGCUUGACUGCGAGACAGACACGUCGAGCAGGUACGAAAGUAGGUCUUAGUGAUCCGGUGGUUCUGUAUGGAAGGGCCAUCGCUCAACGGAUAAAAGGUACUCCGGAUAACAGGCUGAUACCGCCCAAGAGUUCAUAUCGACGGCGGUGUUUGGCACCUCGAUGUCGGCUCAUCACAUCCUGGGGCUGAAGCCGGUCCCAAGGGUAUGGCUGUUCGCCAUUUAAAGUGGUACGCGAGCUGGGUUUAGAACGUCGUGAGACAGUUCGGUCCCUAUCUGCCGUGGACGUUUGAGAUUUGAGAGGGGCUGCUCCUAGUACGAGAGGACCGGAGUGGACGAACCUCUGGUGUUCCGGUUGUCACGCCAGUGGCAUUGCCGGGUAGCUAUGUUCGGAAAAGACAACCGCUGAAAGCAUCUAAGCGGGAAACUUGCCUCAAGAUGAGAUCUCACUGGGAACUUGAUUCCCCUGAAGGGCCGUCGAAGACUACGACGUUGAUAGGCUGGGUGUGUAAGCGUUGUGAGGCGUUGAGCUAACCAGUACUAAUUGCCCGUGAGGCUUGACC